rnacentral:rRNA from 1 species
GUGUCAGCAGCCGCGGUAAUACGUAGGGGGCAAGCGUUGUCCGGAAUUAUUGGGCGUAAAGCGCGCGCAGGCGGCUUCGUAAGCCCAGUGUUUAAGCUCGGAGCUCAACUCCGAUACGCACUGGGAACUGCGAGGCUUGAGUGCAGAAGAGGAAAGUGGAAUUCCACGUGUAGCGGUGAAAUGCGUAGAGAUGUGGAGGAACACCAGUGGCGAAGGCGACUUUCUGGUCUGUAACUGACGCUGAGGCGCGAAAGCGUGGGGAGCAAACAGGAUUAGAUACCCGUGUAGUCC